UUAUUUGAUAGUUUGAUUUUUCUCCCUUGUGUUGUCUUGUUUUACUUCCUGUCUUUUGGUUUUCCCGCCUUUGUGAUUGUUUGCUCCACCCUGAUGUCUUUCACCUGUUCCCUAGCCCUAGUGUCACCUGUCCCUUGUUUACUCGUUAACUCUUGUAGUUAGUAUUUGUGUUUCCUUUGUCUGUUGUCAGGUCAUUGUAUUCUGUUUCGUGGUCGUUUGUGGAGUCUACCCCGUUGUCUCUGUGUUUCCAGUUUUGGUAUUCCUGUCUUUUGUUUUCCUCCACAUUCUGGAGGGAUUUUUGCCUGCUGCCUUGUGGACUCCU